ACCUGGGUGGCUCAGUCAGUUAAGCAUCUGACUUAGGCUCAGGUCAUGAUCUCACAGUUCAUGGGUUCAAGCCCCAUGUCAGGCU
rnacentral:tRNA from 1 species